CGGGACUCUUAUGAGGCCUCGUAAUCGGAAUGAGUACACUUUAAAUAUUUUAACGAGGAACAAUUGGAGGGCAAGUCUGGUGCCAGCAGCCGCGGUAAUUCCAGCUCCAAUAGCGUAUACUAAAUUUGUUGCGGUUAAAAAGCUCGUAGUUGCAUUUGUGCGCCGCACUGCCGGUGCACCGCUUCCGCGGUGAUACUGGUAUGUCUGCGGAGCAUAUCGUCGGUGAGCCGCCGUUAACGCGGCGGUUCAAUAUCAAAAUCCUAUCGCGGUGCUCUUCAGUGAGUGUCGAGAUGGGCCGACAAUUUUACUUUGAACAAAUUAGAGUGCUCAAAGCGGGCUCAAAAUGCUGCUUGAAUAUUUCGUGCAUGGAAUAAUAGAAUAUGAUCUCGGUUCUAUUUUGUUGGUUUUCAGAACUCCGAGGUAAUGAUUAAUAGGGAUAACUGGGGGCAUUCGUAUUGCGACGUUAGAGGUGAAAUUCUUGGAUCGUCGCAAGACGAACAACAGCGAAAGCAUUUGCCAAAGGUGUUUUCAUCAAUCAAGAACGAAAGUUAGAGGUUCGAAGGCGAUUAGAUACCGCCCUAGUUCUAACCGUAAAUAUGUCAUCUAGCGAUCCGCCGACGUUACCCAAAUGGCUCGGCGGGCAGCUUCCGGGAAACCAAAGAUUUUGGACUCCGGGGGGAGUAUGGUUGCAAAGCUGAAACUUAAAGGAA
rnacentral:rRNA from 1 species